rnacentral:rRNA from 1 species
AAGACCUUGCACUUUUGGAGCGGCCGAUGUCUGAUUAGCUAGUUGGUGGGGUAAUGGCCUACCAGAGCUUCGAUCAGUAGCUGGUCUGAGAGGACGGCCAGCCACACUGGGACUGAGACACGGCCCAGACUCCUACGGGAGGCAGCAGUGGGGAAUUUUGGACAAUGGGCGCAAGCCUGAUCCAGCCAUGCCGCGUGAGUGAAGAAGGCCUUCGGGUUGUAAAGCUCUUUCAGCCGGGAAGAAAAGGUUGCGAUUAAUAAUCGUAAUUUAUGACGGUACCGGAAGAAGAAGCACCGGCUAACUACGUGCCAGCAGCCGCGGUAAUACGUAGGGUGCGAGCGUUAAUCGGAAUUACUGGGCGUAAAGGGUGCGCAGGCGGUUUUGUAAGUCAGAUGUGAAAUCCCCGGGCUUAACCUGGGAACU